CUCCUUUACCUCACCUUCAUUAAUUUCUGCUUUAUAAUCAUCUUCCUUUGUUGCACUCCAUUUCCCUGUUAAGCUACAAUUAUUCACAGGUAUAUUACUUCCAUCAUUAUUUCUUUUCUUUUCAAUAUUAACUUUUAGUUGUACAUGUGUACCACAAUGAAUAUCUGAGUACAGCGGAUCAAAAUCUAGUAUUCUAAAUUCCUGUUCAUUUUUCUGAACAGUGUUGGUGAGCCAGUGACAUAAUCCACCAGUGUAGCAUAAGUAGUUGUGGGUUUCCCCACUCUAAGCUCUUCAUCUAGUCUACCAUUAAAUAUACACACAUCAUUAUUACUACAAAUUGUCACCAGGUCAAAGUCCAGAUUCGUCUUCCUCUGGGUCAUCGAUGGACCUAAAACCUGUUAAAACAAUAAGGGUAAGGCGCGUGAAGCAUAUAACACGUGGUAACAGGAAAGAGAAACUACGCCGUGUCACUCGCCACCGCCUCAACCAUUGCGGACCCUGUUAUUGCAACCACCACCACAGAUACGCCUGAUCCUACUGCUGCCACAGCCUCUUUAUCAUUGAAACACAAAAAGCAACCACCCAGCAUUUCCUCAGGUGUUCUUGGAAAGAAAAGGAGUGUGCAAAGUGGACAAGGAAGGAGGCGUAUAAAAAAAAGGUAACAGGCUCCCUCGACACAACCACCACCACCACCAGCUCUGGUGUCACCACCUCCACCGCCGUUACGUAUUUAGUUUCUUGUUUGGAAUAUUUUUUUCCCAUAGAGGAACUGUAAAAUGAAGUAGGUGUAAGAAAAUGCAGUAAAGUUACUGGUUUUUUGUUUCUUGUUGAGGAAGAACUUCUUUUUCUAGAAAAGAAACGCUUAAAGGGUUAAUGUUAGUGCAGCAGGAUUAGCACAUUAUUUCAGGCAUUACAGCACAUCAGCAUUAGCACAGCAUCACAAUUCUGUAACAACAUUAUUUUAGGCAUGACAACAUCACAAGCAGAACAACAUUACAUACAAACGCAAAACAGCAUCACAUAACAGUGAUAAUAAGAUUAAGAUGCUGUGAUGCUGAGGGUCAGAUUAUGAUGUUGUGCUGUUAGGUCUAAGAUAAUAAUGAUGUGAUGUCUAAGAUACCCUGUGAUGCUGUUAGAUCUAAGAUAAUGAGGCUGUAAUGCUGUUAUGUCUAAGAUAAAGAUGAUGUGAUUCUGUUGUCUAAGAAUAACACAACAGCAACACAGCAUCACCACCAGUACCCAGGCAUCAUCACCACACACAUCAGUUUCCCCACAAACCUCACCAUCAGACACACACAACCACCACCAGUACCCAGGCAUCACCAUGCAGCGUCACACUCAAAACAGCAGCAUCACAUUUGAACAGCCCAUGGUGAGGAAUUAAAGCAAGAGGGAAUAUUGCGUAAUAAUUGUAAGUACUCGGUAGGUUCCCACGUCACCUGUUCAAAGCAGACGAUUUUUUUUGCUUUUGCUACUUUUUGCUAUUGUGGCAGUAUGUACUUUGUUUAUUUGACAGUUUCAUCAAAUUUAUCUUAUUUUCUGAGUAAUUGCGUUUUUAAUAAUGUUUUAAGUGCAACAGGAACCGAAUUCUUGAGUAAUGAAAGAUGAGGCUACAAGAAGAAGCAGAGGAAAUUCCGAAAUGGACGUCGGUGUGUGUUUUUCCAUCUUAUUUCACCAUUUUAUCCUCAGGAAAUCUCUGCUGGGGAGACUGGUCACUUGAUAGCAACAAGAACUGACGUCAGUUGACCAAGACACCACUAGGAAUUGACAUUAGCUGACCAAGACAGGACCAGAAAUUGACACCCACUUGCCACAAUAUCAAAGAACGUUUGGGCAUUGGUCGAGUAGGGGAAUUCCCUGUGAGUUGCAUUGUCUCUACAGGACCAAUUAUCAGUUUAACACUUUGGUGGAAAGGACAGCUGUGAAGAACAUGCGAGCACUUGGGAGUUGCUUCCAUCAUGGGAGUGUCCCUCAAGAGUAGGAGCCACCCCUCUCACUGACCUGAGUCACCUGACCCUAUCAGAUUGACACAGAAGAGUGAAGGACUGCCUGCUGCCUUGAUGCAAGAAAGUUUAGGCUGCCAUCUCACUCCUGCAUUGACAGCUGAUUUGUGCUGAAGCCCACCAGUCCAGUCAAGCCAGGAGGGACCAGGUGAUCAGUGCUGAGGAGUGGAGAGUGGGCUGGCAGGAAUUAGAAGCUUUAAGAGGUUCUGAAGAAGAGAUGAAGUGGAAGAUGAACCUGGGGGCUGUCAGCUUUGUGGAAUCCUGGUAAAAUUGGAGGAUGAACUCCGCUGCCUGUCAAAUCUGUCCUGAAGUGAAGUGCUCUGACUGAAUUGGGCCUUCCGUCAUCACAGUUGAAGAGAACCCAGCUCUGUCUGAACCCUGCCUGUCAGUUGCUAAACAUUGCAGAAGAUGGAGCUGUGGGUGAACCAAAGCCAUACGUGAACCCGGCAAGAAAGUGGUGUUGCUGUCCUGAGGCUCAGGAGCACCAAUUCACUGUCCACCCUCCUUCAUCAUGGAAAGAUGUGUAUGAACAAAGAAAUUACUUGAUGAAAAAUAAAACUCACUGUAAUUUGUCAAAUUUAAUAAUUGUAUUGUGAAAAAAAAAUU